CGAGUAUUCCUCCAUCUCAAAAUUCUUGUCUUAGAUUUAUGUAGAUACGGAUGUAUCUAAUACUAAAAUGUGACUUGAUACAUCCGUAUUUAGAAAAAUCUAAGAUAAGAAUUUUGGGACGGAGGAGUACAUA
rfam:Triticum aestivum genome assembly, contig: Triticum_aestivum_CS42_TGACv1_scaffold_603084_7DL